CCUACGGGGGGCUGCAGUGGGGAAUAUUGGACAAUGGGGGGAACCCUGAUCCAGCCAUGCCGCGUGUGUGAAGAAGGCCCUCGGGUUGUAAAGCACUUUCAGUGAGGAAGAACGCCUGGUGGUUAAUACCCAUCAGGAAAGACAUCACUCACAGAAGAAGCACCGGCUAACUCCGUGCCAGCAGCCGCGGUAAUACGGAGGGUGCGAGCGUUAAUCGGAAUUACUGGGCGUAAAGCGCGCGUAGGUGGCUUGGUAAGCCGGUUGUGAAAGCCCCGGGCUCAACCUGGGAACGGCAUCCGGAACUGUCAAGCUAGAGUGCAGGAGAGGAAGGUAGAAUUCCCGGUGUAGCGGUGAAAUGCGUAGAGAUCGGGAGGAAUACCAGUGGCGAAGGCGGCCUUCUGGACUGACACUGACACUGAGGUGCGAAAGCGUGGGUAGCAAACAGGAUUAGAUACCCGUGUAGUC
rnacentral:rRNA from 1 species